UACGGAGGGAGCUAGCGUUGUUCGGAAUUACUGGGCGUAAAGCGCACGUAGGCGGCUUUGCAAGUUUAGAGGUGAAAGCCCGGGGCUCAACUCCGGAAUUGCCUUUAAAACUGCAUCGCUAGAGUUGUGGAGAGGUAAGUGGAAUUCCGAGUGUAGAGGUGAAAUUCGUAGAUAUUCGGAAGAACACCAGUGGCGAAGGCGACUUACUGGACACAUACUGACGCUGAGGUGCGAAAGCUAGGGGAGCAAACAGGAUUAAGAAA
rnacentral:rRNA from 1 species